rnacentral:rRNA from 1 species
AGGACGAACGCUGGCGGCGUGCUUAACACAUGCAAGUCGAGCGACGCUCUUCCUUCGGGGAGAUGACGGAGCGGCGAACGGGUGAGUAACACGUGGGCAACCUGCCCCUAGCUCUGGGACAACACCGGGAAACCGGUGCUAAUACCGGAUACGACAUCGAGCGGCAUCUCUCGAUGUGGAAAGUUUUUUCGGCUAGGGAUGGGCCCGCGGCCUAUCAGCUUGUUGGUGGGGUAAUGGCCCACCAAGGCGACGACGGGUAGCCGGCCUGAGAGGGCGACCGGCCACGACUGGGACUGAGACACGGCCCAGACUCCUACGGGAGGCAGCAGUGGGGAAUAUGCGCAAUGGGCAAAGCCUGACGCAGCGACGCCGCGUGAGGAUGACGGCCUUCGGGCUGUAAACCUCUUUCAGCAGGACGAAAACAGACGGUACCUGACAGAAGAAGCACCGGCCAACUACGUCGCCAGCAGCCCGC